GAAUUACUGGGCGUAAAGCGCACGCAGGCGGUCUGUCAAGUCGGAUGUGAAAUCCCCGGGCUCAACCUGGGAACUGCAUUCGAAACUGGCAGGCUUGAGUCUUGUAGAGGGGGGUAGAAUUCCAGGUGUAGCGGUGAAAUGCGUAGAGAUCUGGAGGAAUACCGGUGGCGAAGGCGGCCCCCUGGACAAAGACUGACGCUCAGGUGCGAAAGCGUGGGGAGCAAACAGGAUUAGAUACCCUGGUAGUCCACGCCGUAAACGAUGUCUACUUGGAGGUUGUGCCCUUGAGGCGUGGCUUCCGGAGCUAACGCGUUAAGUAGACCGCCUGGGGAGUACGGCCGCAAGGUUAAAACUCAAAUGAAUUGACGGGGGCCCGCACAAGCGGUGGAGCAUGUGGUUUAAUUCGAUGCAACGCGAAGAACCUUAC
rnacentral:rRNA from 1 species